UAACCUGCGGAGGGAUCAUUACUGAGUUUACGCUCUACAACCCUUUGUGAACAUACCUAUAACUGUUGCUUCGGCGGGUAGGGUCUCCGUGACCCUCCCGGCCUCCCGCCCCCGGGCGGGUCGGCGCCCGCCGGAGGAUAACCAAACUCUGAUUUAACGACGUUUCUUCUGAGUGGUACAAGCAAAUAAUCAAAACUUUUAACAACGGAUCUCUUGGUUCUGGCAUCGAUGAAGAACGCAGCGAAAUGCGAUAAGUAAUGUGAAUUGCAGAAUUCAGUGAAUCAUCGAAUCUUUGAACGCACAUUGCGCCCGCCAGCAUUCUGGCGGGCAUGCCUGUUCGAGCGUCAUUUCAACCCUCAAGCUCUGCUUGGUGUUGGGGCCCUACAGCUGAUGUAGGCCCUCAAAGGUAGUGGCGGACCCUCCCGGAGCCUCCUUUGCGUAGUAACUUUACGUCUCGCACUGGGAUCCGGAGGGACUCUUGCCGUAAAACCCCCCAAUUUUCCAAAGGUUGACCUCGGAUCAGGUAGGAAUACCCGCUGAACUUAAGCAU
rnacentral:rRNA from 1 species